rnacentral:rRNA from 1 species
AGCGGCAACAGCUCAAAUUUGAAAUCUGGCCCUCGCGGUCCGUGUUGUAAUUUGUAGUAGGAUGCUUUUGGUGCGGUGCCUUCCGAGUUCCCUGGAACGGGACGCCAGAGAGGGUGAGAGCCCCGUACGGUUGGACACCUACCCUAUACAUAGCUCCUUCGACGAGUCGAGUAGUUUGGGAAUGCUGCUCUAAAUGGGAGGUAAAUUUCUUCUAAAGCUAAAUACCGGCCAGAGACCGAUAGCGCACAAGUAGAGUGAUCGAAAGAUGAAAAGCACUUUGAAAAGAGGGUUAAAUAGCACGUGAAAUUGUUGAAAGGGAAGCGUUUGCGACCAGACUUUUUCCAGGCGGAUCAUCCGGUGUUCUCACCGGUGCACUUCGCCUGGUUUAGGCCAGCAUCGGUUCUCUUAGGGGGAUAAAGGCUCGGGGAACGUAGCUCCUUCGGGAGUGUUAUAGCCCCUUGCGUAAUACCCUUCGGGGGACCGAGGAUCGCGCUCUGCAAGGAUGCUGGCGUAAUGGUCGUCAACGACCCGUCUUGAAACACGGACCAAGGAGUCGAACAUUUGUGCGAGUGUCUGGGUGUUAAACCCUCACGCGUAAUGAAAGUGAACGGAGGUGAGAGCCCUUGCGGGUGCAUCAUCGACCGAUCCUGAUGUCUUCGGAUGGAUUUGAGUAAGAGCAUAACUGCUCGGACCCGAAAGAUGGUGAACUAUGCGUGGAUAGGGUG